GACGAACGCUGGCGGCGUGCUUAACACAUGCAAGUCGAGCGGAGCGGCGAACGGGUGAGUAACGCGUGAGUAACUGCCCCCCUCUCUGGGAUAACAGUUGGCAACGGCUGCUAAUACCGGAUAGUGGGGGAUGACUCGCUUCUUAUCAGCUUGUUGGUGGGGUAGUGGCCUACUAAGGCGACGACGGGGAGCCGGUCGGAGGGGGCGACCGGCCACAUUGGGCUGAUGUACGGCCCAAAAUCCUACGAGGGGCAGCAGUAGGGUAUAUUGCACAGUGGGGGAAACUCUGAUGCAGCAGCGCCGCGUGCGGGAUGACGGCCUUCGGGUUAUAAAACGCUUUCAGCCAUGACGCGGUAGUGGCAGAAGAGGAACCGGUUAACUACGUGCCAGCAGCCGCGGUAAUU
rnacentral:rRNA from 1 species